GCAAAGGAAUCUGGAGUGGUCUGGGGCUGGCAAUCAAUCAAGCGAUCAAUCAUAUUUAUUGAGAGCUUGCUGUAUGCAGAGCACUGUUCUAAGCUCUUAGGAGAGUACAAUACAACCAUGCAAAGGAUCUCUUCUGUGCUACAGGGUGACCCUGGAACCUUGGGUCCCCGGGGAGAAGAUGGACCGGAAGGGCCAAAAGGACAGGAGGGGCAGCCGGGUGGGGAGGGGCCACCAGGCCCAGCUGGGGACAAGGGCAAACUGGGUCUUCCUGGCCUUCCCGGCUAUCCAGGGCGCAGAGGACCCAAGGUAAAGGGUGGGGAGGGGGAGGGCGAAGAAGAGGGAGAGUGCAGAGGGUUGGGGGAAGGAGGGCUCAGUUAGACAAUUAUUCCCAUUUCUGCUCCACAGGGCUCCGGCGGGUUUCCCGGGGCCCAGGGUUUGGCUGGCGAGAAAGGGAAACGGGUGAGUGUUUGGGUGAACCGUUGUGUCUUAAUCUUGGGGUUUCCCAGUCUGCCACACUUUCCGUGAUGUGAAGUUACAGGUCCCCUGAAAGGCCCGUCUCAUCCAGGAUACCGCUCUCCAGCCUCACUCUCCGCUGGAGCCAGUAGCUGGGCUCGCAGGGGUGUCUCCAAAUCCCAACCCCUUCCUCGGGUGCACCAUCCUGAUACAGAUGUGGGGGCCCAGAACACAAGACACAAUCACUCUCUCUUCGUAUUAGAAAGAGAAAAAAAUCAUUUUACUAAAGCUAAGGUAGCUUAUUAUGGUAUUGGAGUAAAAUCCUAAGGAACAAUUGGAAGUGAACAAGCUCACAGCAGAUAAGGUUGCAACAGCACAAAGGCAAAGGAGCAUAAGGUCAAAUCCAAUUAUAGCCUGCAAAUCUCCCCUUGGAUCUAGACCGCUCCCUGAGCUAGGAUCCAGGGUUCCCUAAAUCUUUCCAAGGGCAUUUAUCUGUCUCUGGGGCUUAGCAGGUCACUCUUGGGGUUUAAAGCCUCUCACUUCUUGUCCCUGGGGGUUUUAUACCCUCCUUUGUGUCAUGUCUAUGAGGGUGUGUGAGUGUGUGCCUGUCAUGUGUGUCUCUCUGUGUUUGACUAUAAGUGUCUGUCCAUGUGUACUCUUGCCCAGUGUAUGCUUCUGUAUGAACUCCUGUUCUCCUGGGGCCUGUUGGGUCCUAUGUGAGUCCCAUGUCCACCUCAUAUCUCCCUUUCUGCGACCCAGGGCAAAGCCGGGCAGGCUGGACUGGCAGGAGAACAGGGCCCGACGGUGAGGAGCCCCCACCCCAUUAGGCUUCCUGACCCAAUCCUCAUUCU
rnacentral:lncRNA from 1 species